rnacentral:rRNA from 1 species
UACGAAGGGAGCUAGCGUUGUUCGGAAUUACUGGGCGUAAAGGGCGCGUAGGCUGUGGGAUAAGUCAGAUGUGAAAGACCUGGGCUCAACCUGGGAAGUGCAUAUGAUACUGUUUCACUAGAGAUCGAGAGAGGAGAGUGGAAUUGCGAGUGUAGAGGUGAAAUUCGUAGAUAUUCGCAAGAACACCGGUGGCGAAGGCGGCUCUCUGGCUCGAUACUGACGCUAAGGCGCGAAAGCGUGGGGAGCAAACAGG